CCUACGGGAGGCAGCAGUCGAGAAUCAUUCACAAUGGGGGAAACCCUGAUGGUGCGACGCCGCGUGGGGGAAUGAAGGUCUUCGGAUUUUAAACCCCUGUCAUGUGGGAGCAAAUUACAAUGAUAGUACCACAAGAGGAAGCGACGGCCAACUCUGUGCCAGCAGCCGCGGUAAUACAGAGGUCUCAAGCGUUGUUCGGAAUCACUGGGCGUAAAGCGUGCGUAGGCUGUUUCGUAAGUCGUGUGUGAAAGGCGCGGGCUCAACCCGCGGACGGCACAUGAUACUGCGAGACUAGAGUAAUGGAGGGGGAAGCGGAAUUCUCGGUGUAGCAGUGAAAUGCGUAGAUAUCGAGAGGAACACUCGUGGCGAAGGCGGGUUCCUGGACAUUAACUGACGCUGAGGCACGAAGGCCAGGGGAGCGAAAGGGAUUAGAUACCCUAGUAGUC
rnacentral:rRNA from 1 species